AGGUUCAGCUUACAGGCCAGUAUCCACAUCUUGCUGAAGCUACAAGGUCACGCACAAAUCCACAUGUGCUCGGUGCUUUGCACAGGUCGGAAGCUGCUGGCUCAUUCACGGAAUUGCAAACUUGGGGCUCAUCAUACACACCAGUAUCCACACCCCUUGCUGGAGCUACAAGGCCACACACGGAACCACAUGUGCUUGGUGAUUUAUGCAGGCCUGCUUCGACACAUGCUGAAGUUGCCAGCUUCACAGAGUUGCAACCUCUUGAUUCAUCGUACAGGCCGGUAUCCACAUAUCCGAUUGGAGCUACAAGGUGGCACGCAGAUCCACAAGUGCUUGG